UACGUAGGUGGCAAGCGUUGUCCGGAAUUAUUGGGCGUAAAGCGCGCGCAGGUGGUGGAUUAAGUUGUGGGUAAAAGACAUUGGCUCAACCAAUGUAAGCCUGCAAAACUGGUUCACUUGAGUGCAGGAGAGGGGAGUGGAAUUCCCGGUGUAGCGGUGGAAUGCGUAGAUAUCGGGAGGAACACCAGUGGCGAAGGCGACUCUCUGGCCUGUAACUGACACUGAGGCGCGAAAGCGUGGGUAGCGAACAGG
rnacentral:rRNA from 1 species